CUGCUUCAUUUACUUUUGUUUCCCCUCGUCACUAGGAGAUUAAUUCCUUUUUGCAGAGGAUUGGGCAAGUACUCAUGCAUCCAAUAUUUGAUUGGGAGCCCAGCCCAGGUCUCCGUUCCCUAUUCCUUUUUGCUGAUACGAAUUUGCCUGUAUGCUGAUCUCUACUUGUGCAGAGAGGAUAAUCAAGGUGCAGUCAAACCACCAUUCCUUGCGGUAGAAUGUCAAGCAACAAUAUUACAACAUGCAAUUACAAACUUAUUUUGUAUCACCUAUUUGACUGAUGGAUGAGGCAGGCUAUCUUACCUAAACUAGGUAAUUUUUCAUAACCAUCUUAAGUAAGCCUAUGUUACAAACUAGACUGAUCCCAUGGCAUGAAAUAGUUGUGUUAUUGGCUUAAGAUAUUCGAGGUGUGGAAGAAAAGAGUGGAUAUGACCAUGAGGUCCAUUCCAUGAAAAUUCACUUUUGCCAUGUUUUGAAGACUGAGAUUAGCAUUUAGCCCAUUGCUGCAACAAUGUUGUUCCACAUAGAUUUAUGAGUUCAACUUAUUAUCUAUUGGGUUCGGUAUCACAGAUUGCUUUUAACCUUUUGGUUAAUUCGAUGUAUUAUGGAUGGAGCCUAGCCAAGCAGCUGAGGCAUCUCUUCGAGUGUCUCAACUUUAUUAGGAAGCUGUGCAUGGUUUUGAGGUGUGAGGUGUGACUAUGAGCCAUCAUAGAAGAUUGUUCAACUUGGGAUUGUUUCUUUGGUCUACCUAGGUUACUAAGUCCUCU